GAAAAUACAUCAUAUCCUGUACUUGGUUGGAAAAGAGCAGAAAUCCUUGGUUAACAGGACUACGUGCAAUGGUGCAGAAAGCAUUCUCUAAAGAAAAAUCAGGGAGGAAGCAACAGUGCAUAGAGAAUCCAACAAACACUAAGGAUUUAAGUUAAAAUGUCAGAGGAUUUGAGGACAUUUGACAGUAUUGUAGGAAAUCACCUGCAAUGGCACUGGGGAAGGAUGAUGAUGUUCUGGGGUGAAUGUGGCCCCUGAAUGCACGGUCAGCCUGCUGCCCCCACACCCGGACUGAGCUGCACCUGCGUCCUGAAGGAAAGCCCUAAAGCAGGGGCCAGACUCCACUGCCUGGAAGUAGAAGCACCUGGAGAGCCUUCACAGCUAUCGAUGCCUGUGGCUACUCUACACCAAUUAAACAGCAUCUCUGGGGACAUGGACCAGGCAUAGCUAUUUUCUCAAACCUCCCCAGCCUGAAACCAGAAAGCGAGCACAGAAGACUGGAUACUGUUGGAAUUCCUUGAGAAGAGGGAAUCCUUAAGAAACUUCAAACUACAGUGGACAGUGGUUCCUGCAGACAAAGAUCUUGAGUCUUAUCAACAUCAAAGAACUCCACAUAUACAAUAGCAAGAAAAGCUUUGAAGAGCAAGAUUUCUCCACAGCAUAGAGGUGGCUGCUGGGCAGAGACAGCUAUGUUCUUCCUGGGGAAGGCAUGAGCAGGAUGGUGGAGCGAAAGGUCCCAAGCAUUAAGCUUUUAGUGAUAAAACAGACCCCAGAGGCUGAAAUCUUCAAAAGGCAUCUGUGAACAAAAUAUGGCAUUUCAAAUAGAGCUGCCAAGUCAAUCAUGGGACACCUGAGUAAAUUUGUAUUUUACAUAAACAAUGAAUAACUUUUUAGAAUUUUAUGGGAUGUACUGAUAUUAAAACCUUACGAAUUGAUUAUCUGAAAUUCAAAUUUAAGUGGGCAUCCUGUACUUUUAUUUACUAAACCUGGCAACUCUUACUCCCAGUGACAUUUUAGUAAUUUCUAAAAUAUUUUUGGAAAGUGGGAAAUGGCCAAAUCCUAAAACCAGACCCACCUGCACACCCAGAUGAGUGGGACCAGCUGAAAUUGCAGUGAAAUCAUGGUAUGAUGGGAAAGCAAAUGUCCAGUCAGUUCAGCCAUCAUGCUCAGUGUGAGCAAAAGGUUCAAAAUGGUGAC